GUGCCCUCGGGGGGCAGCAGUGAGGAAUAUUGGUCAAUGGGCGGGAGCCUGAACCAGCCAAGUCGCGUGAGGGAAGACGGUCCUAUGGAUUGUAAACCUCUUUAGGCGGGGAGCAAUGCCGGGCACGUGUGCCCGGAGGGAGAGUACCCGCAGAAUAAGCAUCGGCUAACUCCGUGCCAGCAGCCGCGGUAAUACGGAGGAUGCGAGCGUUAUCCGGAUUUAUUGGGUUUAAAGGGUGCGUAGGCGGACUGUUAAGUCAGCGGCAAAAGCCCGGGGCUCAACCCCGGCGAGCCGUUGAAACUGGC
rnacentral:rRNA from 1 species